CUGAUGUUAGCGGCGGACGGGUGAGUAACACGUGGAUAACCUACCUAUAAGACUGGGAUAACUUCGGGAAACCGGAGCUAAUACCGGAUAAUAUUUUGAACCGCAUGGUUCAAAAGUGAAAGACGGUCUUACUGUCACUUAUAGAUGGAUCCGCGCUGCAUUAGCUAGUUGGUAAGGUAACGGCUUACCAAGGCAACGAUGCAUAGCCGACCUGAGAGGGUGAUCGGCCACACUGGAACUGAGACACGGUCCAGACUCCUACGGGAGGCAGCAGUAGGGAAUCUUCCGCAAUGGGCGAAAGCCUGACGGAGCAACGCCGCGUGAGUGAUGAAGGUCUUCGGAUCGUAAAACUCUGUUAUUAGGGAAGAACAUAUGUGUAAGUAACUGUGCACAUCUUGACGGUACCUAAUCAGAAAGCCACGGCUAACUACGUGCCAGCAGCCGCGGUAAUACGUAGGUGGCAAGCGUUAUCCGGAAUUAUUGGGCGUAAAGCGCGCGUAGGCGGUUUUUUAAGUCUGAUGUGAAAGCCCACGGCUCAACCGUGGAGGGUCAUUGGAAACUGGAAAACUUGAGUGCAGAAGAGGAAAGUGGAAUUCCAUGUGUAGCGGUGAAAUGCGCAGAGAUAUGGAGGAACACCAGUGGCGAAGGCGACUUUCUGGUCUGUAACUGACGCUGAUGUGCGAAAGCGUGGGGAUCAAACAGGAUUAGAUACCCUGGUAAUCCACGCCGUAAACGAUGAGUGCUAAGUGUUAGGGGGUUUCCGCCCCUUAGUGCUGCAGCUAACGCAUUAAGCACUCCGCCUGGGGAGUACGACCGCA
rnacentral:rRNA from 1 species